UACGUAGGGGGCAAGCAUUGUCCGGAUUUACUGGGCGUAAAGAGCGCGUAGGCGGAAACGCCAGUCCGGCUUGAAAGCCCCCGGCUCAACCGGGGAGAGUGGCUGGAAACUGCGUUUCUUGAGGGCGAGAGAGGAGGGUGGAAUUCCUGGUGUAGCGGUGAAAUGCGUAGAGAUCAGGAGGAACACCCGUGGCGAAGGCGGCCCUCUGGCUCGACCCUGACGCUGAGGCGCGAAAGCGUGGGGAGCGAACGGG
rnacentral:rRNA from 1 species